GCCAGAUGAAGCUAGAGUGAACAUGUUUUUGUUGAGCUGUCCAGAAAACUGAUUAAAGUUAAAGCUGAAAUGAUGAAUGCUAUGAUUCAUAUAUUGUUUCAUAUACUGUAACUUGUACCGGCUGACCUGAAUGUACUUAUACCCGGCAAAAUAGUAAGUUUAACGGUUAACAUUGCGAGUGAUAUUUCAGAAAUAUAUUUUGAUUACAGAUUGUUUUAUGAAAGUCAUGUACACAUUUAUAGCAUAUUCAAUACGUUAAUUAAUCAAAAGGUUAUACUUGUUAAGCUAUACCUGUAUCUCAUGUUGUUAUGAUUAUGAAUAUUGAUAAAGCUGGUGUUUAAAGGAGAAAUGAAGGUUAUAAUGUGCAGUCAAAGGUUAAUUUGGAAUCUGAAUGUUAUUUUGUUAUGCUGUUUACUUUUAUACAUAUUUGAUAAUUCUUUUCUGCAUUCCAGAAUCGAAUGAGAGAUAUUUAUUAAACUUCAUAUCGAACUCAA